rnacentral:rRNA from 1 species
UGGGGGAUAUUGGUCAAUGGGGGAAACCCUGAACCAGCGACGCCGCGUGAGGGAAGAAGGUUUUCGGAUUGUAAACCUCUGUCCUCGGUGAAGAUAAUGACGGUAGCCGAGGAGGAAGCUCCGGCUAACUACGUGCCAGCAGCCGCGGUAAUACGUAGGGAGCAAGCGUUGUCCGGAAUUACUGGGUGUAAAGGGAGCGUAGGCGGGGAUGCAAGUUGAAUGUUUAAACUAUCGGCUCAACCGGUAGUCGCGUUCAAAACUGCAUUUCUUGAGUGAAGUAGAGGUAGGCGGAAUUCCUAGUGU